GAUGAACGCUGGCGGCGUGCCUAAUACAUGCAAGUCGAGCGAACGGACGAGAAGCUUGCUUCUCUGAUGUUAGCGGCGGACGGGUGAGUAACACGUGGAUAACCUACCUAUAAGACUGGGAUAACUUCGGGAAACCGGAGCUAAUACCGGAUAAUAUUUUGAACCGCAUGGUUCAAAAGUGAAAGACGGUCUUGCUGUCACUUAUAGAUGGAUCCGCGCUGCAUUAGCUAGUUGGUAAGGUAACGGCUUACCAAGGCAACGAUGCAUAGCCGACCUGAGAGGGUGAUCGGCCACACUGGAACUGAGACACGGUCCAGACUCCUACGGGAGGCAGCAGUGGGAACCUUCCGCAAUGGGCGAAAGCCUGACGGAGCAACGCCGCGUGAGUGAUGAAGGUCUUCGGAUCGUAAAACUCUGUUAUUAGGGAAGAACAUAUGUGUAAGUAACUGUGCACAUCUUGACGGUACCUAAUCAGAAAGCCACGGCUAACUACGUG
rnacentral:rRNA from 1 species